rnacentral:rRNA from 1 species
GGCGGCAUGCCUUACACAUGCAAGUCGAACGGCAGCACGGGUGCUUGCACCUGGUGGCGAGGAACGGGUGAGUAAUAUAUCGGAACGUGCCCAGUCGUGGGGGAUAACGUAGCGAAAGUUACGCUAAUACCGCAUACGAUCUACGGAUGAAAGCGGGGGAGGGCAAGACCUCGCGCGAUUGGAGCGGCCGAUAUCAGAUUAGGUAGUUGGUGGGGUAAAGGCUCACCAAGCCAACGAUCUGUAGCUGGUCUGAGAGGACGACCAGCCACACUUGAACUGAGACACGGU